rnacentral:rRNA from 1 species
CCUACGGGAGGCAGCAGCAAGGAAUUUUCGGCAAUGGGCGCAAGCCUGACCGAGCAACACCGCGUGCGGGACGAAGGCCUUCGGGUUGUAAACCGCUUUUGCAAAGGACGAAUUUUUGACGGUACUUUGCGAAUAAGCCCCGGCUAACUCCGUGCCAGCAGCCGCGGUAAGACGGAGGGGGCAAGCGUUGUCCGGACUCACUGGGCGUAAAGCGUGCGUAGGCGGUAGGAUGCGUCGGUACUGAAAGCUCCUUGCUUAACAAGGAAGGGCGUAUCGAUACGAUCCAACUCGAGGAAGUGGGAGGUUGGCAGAAUUCCGGGUGUAGUGGUGAAAUGCGUAGAUAUCCGGAGGAAUACCGGUGGUGUAGACGGCCAACUAAGACUUUCCUGACGCUGAGGCACGAAAGCGUGGGUAGCGAACCGGAUUAGAUACCCUGGUAGUC